rnacentral:rRNA from 1 species
GACGAACGCUGGCGGCGUGCUUAACACAUGCAAGUCGAACGGAAAGGCCCUGCUUUUGUGGGGUGCUCGAGUGGCGAACGGGUGAGUAACACGUGAGUAACCUGCCCUUGACUUUGGGAUAACUUCAGGAAACUGGGGCUAAUACCGGAUAGGAGCUCCUGCUGCAUGGUGGGGGUUGGAAAGUUUCGGCGGUUGGGGAUGGACUCGCGGCUUAUCAGCUUGUUGGUGGGGUAGUGGCUUACCAAGGCUUUGACGGGUAGCCGGCCUGAGAGGGUGACCGGCCACAUUGGGACUGAGAUACGGCCCAGACUCCUACGGGAGGCAGCAGUGGGGAAUAUUGCACAAUGGGCGGGAGCCUGAUGCAGCAACGCCGGGUGCGGGAUGACGGCCUUCGGGGUGGAAACCGCUUUCGCCUGUGACGAAGCGGGAGUGACGGUAAUGGGUAAAGAAGCCCCGGCUAACUACGUG